GUCCACGCCGUAAACGAUGAUUGCUAGUUGUCGGGAAGCUUGCUUUUCGGUGACGCAGCUAACGCGUGAAGUUGACCGCCUGGGGAGUACGGCCGCAAGGUUAAAACUCAAAGGAAUUGACGGGGACCCGCACAAGCGGUGGAUGAUGUUCUUUAAUUCGAUGCAACGCGAAAAACCUUACCCACCUUUGACAUGUAUGGAAUCCUUUAGAGAUGAAGGAGUGUUCGAAAGAGAGCCAUAACACAGGUGCUGCAUGGCUGUCGU
rnacentral:rRNA from 1 species